rnacentral:rRNA from 1 species
AUUGAACGCUGGCGGCAUGCCUUACACAUGCAAGUCGAACGGCAGCACGGGAGCUUGCUCCUGGUGGCGAGUGGCGAACGGGUGAGUAAUACAUCGGAACGUACCCUGAAGUGGGGGAUAACGUAGCGAAAGUUACGCUAAUACCGCAUAUUCUGUGAGCAGGAAGGAGGGGGAGUCGCAAGACCUCUUGCUUUAGGAGCGGCCGAUGUCGGAUUAGCUAGUUGUGAGGUAAAGGACUCACCAAGGCGACGAUCCGUAGCGGGUCUGAGAGGAUGAUCCGCCACACUGGGACUGAGACACGGCCCAGACUCCUACGGGAGGCAGCAGUGGGGAAUUUUGGACAAUGGGCGCAAGCCUGAUCCAGCCAUGCCGCGUGAGUGAAGAAGGCCUUCGGUGUAAG